rnacentral:rRNA from 1 species
GAUAAGUUGCUGCUGGUUCUCUAGGGAACAAUGUGCACACUUGUCAUCUUUGUAUCUUCACCUGUGCACCUUUUGUAGACCUGAUUAUCUCUCUGAAUGCUUUAUAGCACUCAGGAUUGAGGAUUGACUUCUUGUCUCUUCUUACAUUUUCAGGUCUAUGUUUCUUCAUAUACCCCAAUGUAUGUUUAUAGAAUGUAAUUAAUGGGCCUUUGUGCCUAUAAACCUUUACAACUUUCAGCAACGGAUCUCUUGGCUCUCGCAUCGAUGAAGAACGCAGCGAAAUGCGAUAAGUAAUGUGAAUUGCAGAAUUCAGUGAAUCAUCGAAUCUUUGAACGCACCUUGCGCUCCUUGGUAUUCCGAGGAGCAUGCCUGUUUGAGUGUCAUUAAUAUUAUCAACCUUUUGGGUUGGAUUUGGGUUUGCUGGCCUCUAUCAGGUCAGCUCCCCUUAAAUGCAUUAGCAGACAACAUUUUGCCAAAUGUUCAUUGGUGUGAUAAUUAUCUACGCUAUUGACGUGGAGCAAGGUUCAGCUUCUAACUGUCCAUUGACUUGG